rnacentral:rRNA from 1 species
GACGUAGGUGGCGAACGUUAUCCGGAAUUAUUGGGCGUAAAGGGUGCGUAGGCAGCCUGACAAGUUAGUAGUGGUAAAUCGAGGCUCAACCUCGUGGAAACUGGUAAUACUGUCCGGCUUGAGUACAGAAGAGGUUAAUGGAAUGGUUCGUGGAGGGGUAAAAUCCAUAGAUAUGAGCUGGAACAUCAAUAACGGCGAAGGCAGUUAACUAUUCUGUUAC